rnacentral:tRNA from 1 species
CAUUAUGAAGCUAAUAAGCGUUAACCUUUUAAGUUAAAGAUUAGGAACAAUAUUUUCCUCAUAAUGA